rnacentral:rRNA from 1 species
AUCUAUGGGCAUGCUAUCCUGAACAAGCCCGAUCCCGGCUGAUCACGGAAGCUAAGCAGGGUCAAGCCUGUUCUUGGUUAGUACUUGGAUGGGAGACCACCUAGGAAGACCAGGUGCUGUAGGCA